UUCCUAGCUCAUUCAGUUGGGUGUUUUCCUAUCUCUAAAGACAAGGUAAAAGAGGAGAGUGUUUUAGAAAACCACUUUGAGAGGUCUUUUUGAGAGUGUUCCCAUGUGUAAUAAAGAACACAUAUCCAUGACAUCUCGAUACGUAAUCAAUAUUUAGCAUUUGCUGAUCCUCUCAUCCCUUCUUAUUCUUCCUUGAGAUAAUCCCAGUUCGCUUUGGCUGACUUUAGAGACAAAAGUUAAGUGAAAAUUAAAGAAGAUAAACAAGUUUUUGCCUUUGAUUUUCUGGUUUUUUGUCUUUAUGGUUCUCGAUUUGGGCCAUAGUAUGAUUGUUAGGCAAUGUUUGGCUGUCUCCACAUAUCCAUGACAUCUAGAAACAGUUUCAUCCUUACCGCCCAAAUCUGAUAGUUUUCACCAUUAAAGAAAUGUGUUGCAACUCUAUUGACUUACUAUUAAGGAAGAAUAUGAAAAUCAGGUUAGCCUACCCACAAAACUCAACAGAGUUACGACUCAGAGCUUCCACAGCCUCGUGAUAUCAUUCAUAGACUUACCAAAUGAUAUCCGCCACAAAAUUCUCUUCUUUAACUCUGCAACUUGGUGCGACAGUUCUGUCCCCUGUGCAAGUUUCUGUCUACUGGUAUUAGUGUCCGUAAUGUCAUGGUUAAAGAGGUCCUCGACAAUGAAAAAAAGCAUUUUGCUGAAUCAACUUUCCAAUCACACAAAGAUAACGAUCACAGAUUUGAUCCCCGUCUAGUGCAGGCAAUUUCACUGUGGCCUCGUCCGCCUAGAUAUUGUCAACACAACUUUUAACAACUUAGGAUGAUAAAAGAGUUCUAAAAAAGGGAGCCACGAAGAAUCACUGACUUUGCAUUGCCUAUGAUGCUAUGAUUUGAGUCUUAGCAGGUUUGUCAAGAUUAAUAUAUUUCAUUUUCGUACACACUAACAAUAAAUAAUUAGACGAAUACAAGGUUAAAAAUGCUCAGGCCGAUGAAUCAAGCAGAUAUAACAGAGGAAAACAGAGACGAUAUCUGUUUUUUAUUUAACCAUCAAUUUUCAUGGGAAAACCAACGACGAGAACAGUCUGCCUGUAAACAGUCCAAAUAAACCUGUGGUCGAGGGGGCUUCUCUAAUGGAAGUGCCUGAAAAAUAAAGCAUGAAGAGGCUUCGCUGAGUAUACAUAAAAGAGUAGAAUCGACACAUCAUAAGUACAUUGUAGACGUUAGCAAAAAUAAACAAACUGCAACAUCGAGGUGUAUUAUAAGACGAUUACCAUUGGAACUCCAACUGAUAUUGUCUUGUAUCUGAUAAGAGGAUCUUGAAAUCUUUCAAGAAAUAAUGCCAGCAUAUUUUAUUACUA